AAAGGGGCUUGUGAGACCAGUGAAUCCACUUCUCCUGACAAUGCUGUAUGGCUGAAGGUCCUUAGUGUUGCCCUCUGCAUUUUACACCAGGGCGGAGCCAUGGGAACUGAAGACCAAAGUGGAGUUAGGGGGCUUGAUACCAAUGUGCAGAUGGAGGGAUAAAAGACCAAAUCAAUACCAAGCACAGGGGUCUAAAGGGAAAAAGACGGUAAGAGGAGUGAGGUGGCGAUGAAGGCUCAGAAGACAGAGCCAGUAAGAGUGAGGACAAAGGAGUUGUCGGAGGGAUGGAGCCAGCCGGACCCAGCCGAAGCUCGAGGAGGGGGUUGAGCUAGAGAAGCCAAUGAAGCCAGAAGAGGAGGUGAAGCCAGAAAACUGAAUUAAGGCUGCAGAGGGGGUGGAACCAGAGAGCUGGGUAGGACAAACGAAGACGAACGAGCCACAGAGCCGUGUAGUACCGGUGGAGAUAAAGGAGCUAGGCAGGACCAGCAGAAAUGAAGGAACCAGGGAGCCGGGCGGAACAACAUCCACUGUCACUACAACCAUUUCAUCAACUGCUUCUACAAGUGAGACACCUACACCUACUCCUUCUAAAACACGCCCUGCCACUACAAGAAGUACUUUAACUGACUCAACACCACCAACUAUAUCAUCAUCCACUGUCACUACAACCAUUUCAUCAACUGCUUCUACAAGUGAGACACCUACACCUACUCCUUCUACAACACCCCCUGCCACUACAAGAAGUACUUCAACUGACUCAACACCACCAACUAUAUCAUCAUCCACUGUCACUACAACCAUUUCAUCAACUGCUUCUACAAGUGAGACACCUACACCUACUCCUUCUAAAACACGCCCUGCCACUACAAGAAGUACUUUAACUGACUCAACACCACCAACUAUAUCAUGUGAGUAUUUUUAUUUAUAG